rnacentral:lncRNA from 1 species
CAAGGCUUCAUCUUCGCAAAUUCUCCGCCCUCUAAAUACGCCCAUUUGUCUUGCCAACCAGAAUUAGACAAUGGAACCCUAACCAAACGAGAACGCCCAGACUUCUUGUCUAGAUACACCUGGCCCCCAAUGCUUUUAACCCGAAAGAUAGCGAAUAAAAGCUCCAAAGAGGGCAUAACCUUAUAAUCUCGGCAACGGGCAAUCAGGCCCAUCACUUGGGCAAAACUGUUUGGCG